CAGUUUGGAGGUACUGUAAAGAUCCAUAUUUAAAAAUAAAAAAAACAAAUAAAAAAAUCACCAACUGAAUGAAUGCACUGAGCAGAGAUGGGAGGAAUGAGGCAAGUGGACUGUACAGGACUGUGCUGCACAGCAGCAGUGCUGAGCAGAGAUGGGAGGAAUGAGGCAAGUGGACUGUACAGGACUGUGCUGCACAGCGGCAGUGCUGACUAGAGAUGGGAGGAAUGAGGCAAGUGGACUGUACAGGACUGUGCUGCACAGCGGCAGUGCUGACUAGAGAUGGGAGGAAUGAGGCAAGUGGACUGUACAGGACUGUGCUGCACAGCGGCAGUGCUGACUAGAGAUGGGAGGAAUGAGGCAAGUGGACUGUACAGGACUGUGCUGCACAGCAGCAGUGCUGAGCAGAGAUGGGAGGAAUGAGACAAGUGGACUGUACAGGACUGUGCUGCACAGCGGCAGUGCUGAGCAGAGAUGGGAGGAAUGAGGCAAGUGGACUGUACAGGACUGUGCUGCACAGCGGCAGUGCUGAGCAGAGAUGGGAGGAAUGAGGCAAGUGGACUGUACAGGACUGUGCUGCACAGCGGCAGUGCUGAGCAGAGAUGGGAGGAAUGAGGCAAGUGGACUGUACAGGACUGCUGCACAGCGGCAGUGCUGAGCAGAGAUGGGAGGAAUGAGGCAAGUGGACUGUACAGCUCAUUACAUUGGAUCAGGUCUUAGAGGAGCCUGUUUGCACUGUAAAGAACUCAUUACAUUGGAUCAGGUCUUAGAGGAGUCUGUUUGCACAUUGGAUCAGGUCUUGGGGGAGUCUGUUUGCACAUUGGAUCAGGUCUUAGAGGAGUCUGUUUGCACUGUAAAGAACUCAUUACAUUGGAUCAGGUCUUAGAGGAGUCUGUUUGCACAUUGGAUCAGGUCUUAGAGGAGUCUGUUUGCACUGUAAAGAACUCAUUACAUUGGAUCAGGUCUUAGAGGAGUCUGUUUACACAUUGGAUCAGGUCUUGGGGGAGUCUGUUUACACAUUGGAUCAGGUCUUGGGGGAGUCUGUUUGCACAUUGGAUCAGGUCUUUGAGGAGUCUGUUUGCACUGUAAAGAACUCAUUACAUUGGAUCAGGUCUUAGAGGAGUCUGUUUACACAUUGGAUCAGGUCUUGGGGGAGUCUGUUUGCACAUUGGAUCAGGUCUUAGAGGAGUCUGUUUGCACUGUAAAGAACUCAUUACAUUGGAUCAGGCCUUAGAGGAGUCUGUUUGCACAUUUGAUCAGGUCUUGGGGGAGUCUGUUUGCACUGUAAAGAACUCAUUACAUUGGAUCAGGUCUUAGAGGAGUCUGUUUACACAUUGGAUCAGGUCUUGGGGGAGUCUGUUUACACAUUGGAUCAGGUCUUGGGGGAGUCUGUUUGCACAUUGGAUCAGGUCUUAGAGGAGUCUGUUUGCACUGUAAAGAACUCAUUACAUUGGAUCAGGUCUUAGAGGAGUCUGUUUGCACAUUGGAUCAGGUCUUGGGGGAGUCUGUUUGCACAUUGGAUCAGGUCUUGGGGGAGUCUGGUUGUCCACUGUGGUUAAAGAGAAGCUGGACUUGCCUUUGGUUAUUUUAGAGCAACAUAAAAUCUGGUUGUAAAUAAGAAAUAGUGUGUGUUCUGUUUUACUCAGUUAGAUUGCAUCGCAUCACUAAAUGUAUACGAACAAUUGAAUUGACAAUGCAUUUAUUGAUGUGUUGUUUGUGAAUGGUGCACAAGGCUUCUCUACUGUGGAGCUGCUUUCACACAAGCACUCGCACUCUCGAGCACCAGGAGCAUUUAACACAAGCACACAGCAUAGGGGAGGAUCAAUGGAAAGAAAUACACAAGCCAGAAAGACUUGGAUUGCAACCAGUCAAGUGGGAGCAUGGUAUGCAGGCUAUUGUUUCUCUAUAAUGCUUCGCUGGAUACAAAGUGCCCUGUGAGGGAAGCAGCUCGGCGCUUGCUGUAUCUGCAAGGUCACUGCUAGUCAUGUGAGGGCUGUGUUGUGUAUGUGUGUUAUAAGGAGCUGUCUGGAGGACAGCCGUGCAGCACAACAAGAUUAUUAUUAUUUCAAGUUCCCAUUAAUAGCUCUACUGCGUACUUCAUAUUUACUCCACAUGCUCGUAAAUCAUGAAAUCAUUUGGCUACAUUUCUUUUUUUUUAUCGUUUUUAUCUUUAGCUUCACCAUGGUUAGCACACUAUGAAACUCUUUGUGUUGUACGUGUAAUGGGGCAGAGGCUGGGCGGAGGCUGGGUGCAAACCGGUGACCCAACUCUCAGCAAGCGAGUAUCUUAACCAAUUUAGUUCUUUAUGCUGUCUGUCUGCUUCCUUAAGUCUAGGAGUUCUGUCUAACCUAGCCAGCAUGCAUCCACCGCACCGCUCCCAGCUCAGACUGAACUGUGCCACUCAGUCACUGGCUUGGACCAGCUGAUAAAGCCUUCAUUGCUAAUCAGAUCAACCCAUAAAACUUAUCUGCAGUGUGCAACAAAACAUGGGGCGUGUCAGAGGUCUGCUUCCAUAGCAGCUGCCAGCUUCCCCUAAUGUCUGACAGGGUCAGAAGCCAGUCUCUGGGGUCCUUUACCAUUCUGAGUGAUGCUGUACCCAUCCGGAUUCAACCUGGUGCACACUGAUCAGGGCAUGGACCUUAACAAACCCAUCCGGAUUCAACCUGGUGCACACUGUUCAGGGCAUGGACCUUAACACACCCAUCCAGAUUCAACCUGGUACACACUGAUCAGGGCAUGGACCUCGACACACCCAUCCAGAUUCAACCUGGUACACACUGAUCAGGGCAUGGACCUCGACACACCCCACCUGGAUUCAACCUGGUGCACACUGAUCAGGGCAUGGACCUCAACACACCCCACCCGGAUUCAACCUGGUGCACAGUGAUCAGGGCACGGACCUUAACACACCCCAUCCGGAUUCAACCUGGUGCACACUGAUCAUUUCAAGAAUAGUUACAUGCUUACAUGCUUAGGCUUUGUGAGUCGAGCCUUCAUAACAAUCGCUGUUCAGACACAGCAUGGAAUAAACAAUGAACUGGUGAAGAAAGGAGCUGUGCAGACCAGCCGACAUUAAACAUUGUUCUUGUCCAGGGUUUCAGUUGUUCUUCUCCAGGGUUUCU